CACUGAAACACCCGUUCCCAUACAAUCACCUAAGUUAAGCAACAUCGAGCCUGGUUAGUACAUAGAUGGGUGACCACUUGGGAAUACCAAGUGCAGUAAG